UGCGUAGACGGGAAGGUAAGUUAGUUGUGAAAUCCCUCGGCUCAACUGAGGAACUGCGACUAAAACUGCUUUUCUUGAGUGCUGGAGAGGAAAGUGGAAUUCCUAGUGUAGCGGUGAAAUGCGUAGAUAUUAGGAGGAACACCAGUGGCGAAGGCGACUUUCUGGACAGCAACUGACGUUGAGGCACGAAAGUGUGGGGAGCAAACA
rnacentral:rRNA from 1 species